CAAAGCAUAGCUUAAUUAAAGCAUUUGGCCUACACCCAAAAGAUUUCAAGAACAAUUGACUGCUUUGA
rnacentral:tRNA from 1 species